GAUGAACGCUGGCGGCGUGCUUAACACAUGCAAGUCGAGCGAAGCAGUUAAGAAGAUUCUUCGGAUGAUCCUUAACUGACUGAGCGGCGGACGGGUGAGUAACGCGUGGGUGACCUGCCCCAUACCGGGGGAUAACAGCUGGAAACGGCUGCUAAUACCGCAUAAGCGCACAGAGCUGCAUGGCUCGGUGUGAAAAACUCCGGUGGUAUGGGAUGGGCCCGCGUCUGAUUAGGCAGUUGGCGGGGUAACGGCCCACCAAACCGACGAUCAGUAGCCGGCCUGAGAGGGCGACCGGCCACAUUGGGACUGAGACACGGCCCAAACUCCUACGGGAGGCAGCAGUGGGGAAUAUUGCACAAUGGGGGAAACCCUGAUGCAGCGACGCCGCGUGAGCGAAGAAGUAUUUCGGUAUGUAAAGCUCUAUCAGCAGGGAA
rnacentral:rRNA from 1 species